UUUGAAAAAGAGAUGGAAACUGUCAACACAAAUGCAGGUUUCUUGUGCAAUUAUGAAGUUAUGCUAAUUUUGCAACAACUCAAAGAUAACACACAGAAAAAACAUAAACGAGAAGGAUCUUUAGCCACUGUGACAUAUGAAUUCUGUUACAAUUUGCUGAAGAACAAGCCAAAUGACAAUGAAAGCAAUAAAAUAAUUUUUCUAUGUACAGUAGAAUCUCUAUACAUCGAACAUCAAGGAAGACACCAAAAAAUUUGAGUUAUAGAGUUUUUGACUUAUGAGGAUUUCCAUUCAACAUAAAAAGCAAUAAUAACAAAACAAAAUUGGAAAGGUCAUCCCACAUUUUUGCAUGGUACUUAUUCAGUGCAGGAAAUUAAGAUGGACUUAUUAACUCUUAUAACUUACUUAUAAUGUAGUAAAUAGGAAGAGAUGAUGAUCAAGUUUAACUCCCAACUGCUUAUAUGAGAUCUGAGACUGUUCGCUAUUUACAAGAAUCAGAAUGUAAUAAUCAAAAUACUGAUGCUAUUGAGAAGUUUCUAGAAGCAACAAAAUGCUUCAAGUUGACAAAAGUGGAAAAAUUAAUGAUGGUCAAUACACCACCUAGAACAGAGUUGGAAAUACAAUUGUUCAGGAGAGUGAGGAGCGACUUUCAGAGGAAGAAGUACAAAAUCUAAUAUCAAUUGUUAAUAAGAUUUUCCCGCCAGUAUAAUCAGUAUGAAUUAUUAAAAAUCCUUUGUAUAAAUAAAUCUAACAUAAAGACCAUUAGUAAUAAGUAAAUAAAUAAAUCUUAUAUAA